rnacentral:rRNA from 1 species
UACGUAGGGGGCAAGCGUUAUCCGGAAUCACUGGGCGUAAAGGGAGCGUAGGCGGUUUGACAAGCCAGGGGUGAAAGGCAAUAGCUUAACUAUUGUAAGCCUUUGGAACUGUCGAACUUGAGUGCAGGAGAGGAAAGUGGAAUUCCUAGUGUAGCGGUGAAAUGCGUAGAUAUUAGGAGGAACACCAGUGGCGAAGGCGACUUUCUGGACUGUAACUGACGCUGAGGCUCGAAAGCGUGGGGAGCAAACAGG